AGUGAACGCUGGCGGUAGGCCUAACACAUGCAAGUCGAACGGCAGCACAGUAAGAGCUUGCUCUUACGGGUGGCGAGUGGCGGACGGGUGAGGAAUACAUCGGAAUCUACUUUUUCGUGGGGGAUAACGUAGGGAAACUUACGCUAAUACCGCAUACGACCUACGGGUGAAAGCAGGGGAUCUUCGGACCUUGCGCGAUUGAAUGAGCCGAUGUCGGAUUAGCUAGUUGGCGGGGUAAAGGCCCACCAAGGCGACGAUCCGUAGCUGGUCUGAGAGGAUGAUCAGCCACACUGGAAGUGGGACACGGUCCAGGCUCCUACGGGAGGCAGCAGUGGGGAAUAUUGGACAAUGGGCGCAAGCCUGAUCCAGCCAUACCGCGUGUGUGAAGAAGGCCUUCGGGUUGUAAAGCCCUUUUGUUGGGAAAGAAAAGCAGCAGGUUAAUACCCCGCUGUUCUGACGGUACCCAAAGAAUAAGCACCGGCUAACUUCGUG
rnacentral:rRNA from 1 species